rnacentral:rRNA from 1 species
AGUGAACGCUGGCGGUAGGCCUAACACAUGCAAGUCGAACGGCAGCACAGGAGAGCUUGCUCUCUGGGUGGCGAGUGGCGGACGGGUGAGGAAUACAUCGGAAUCUACUCUGUCGUGGGGGAUAACGUAGGGAAACUUACGCUAAUACCGCAUACGACCUACGGGUGAAAGCAGGGGAUCCUCGGACCUUGCGCGAUUGAAUGAGCCGAUGUCGGAUUAGCUAGUUGGCGGGGUAAAGGCCCACCAAGGCGACGAUCCGUAGCUGGUCUGAGAGGAUGAUCAGCCAAACUUGAACUUAGACACGGUCCAGACUCCUACGGGAGGCAGCAGUGGGGAAUAUUGGACAAUGGGCGCAAGCCUGAUCCAGCCAUACCGCGUGGGUGAAGAAGGCCUUCGGGUUGUAAAGCCCUUUUGUUGGGAAAGAAAUCCAGCUGGCUAAUACCCGGUUGGGAUGACGGUACCCAAAGAAUAAGCACCGGCAAACUUCGUGCCAGCCGCCGCCGUAA